AGGGAGGGAAGAGGGGCUGGGUCUCAGUCACCGCCUCGUGGGGGGUGCCUCUCCCUGCUGCGAUGGGGUUCCUAAUAGCCAGGGGAGGAAGAGGGGCUGGCUCUCUGUCCCUGCCUCAUGGGUGGUCCUUCCCCCCGCUGCGAUGGGGGUCCUAAGAGCAAGGGGGGGAAGUGGGGCUGGCUCUCUGUCCUCGCCUCACCAGGGGUGCCUCGCACCCUUGAGAUGGGGGUCCUAAGAGCCAGGGGGGGAAGAGGGGCUGGCUCUCAGUCACCACAGCAUGGGGGGGCCUUUCUGUUCUGGUUUUGCCCAAGAGUAAGCUUAUUUGCAUCUGGUUCUAGCAGGGCAGUUGCUGCCAAGGCCCUCAAACAUGGGGGCCAUCCUUUCGAAUCUCUGUCUAGCUGUUUAGAGAGGUAGGCCACCGGCCUCAGCCAAGGCCCCACAGUUUGGGUUUAAAGUCCAGCUGCCAUCUUUUCUCUGACGCAUACAAUGGAAAAGUCUUUGUGAGAUCGGGUAGCCCCUGGGCUGGGGCUUUCAGAAGUUUUUCCUUUAAGUCAUGAAAGACUUGCUGUUGUUGGAAUCCCCAUUCCAAAUGUUCCCGGUCCCCGCCCCCCUUUGUGACGUCAUAGAAAGGCGUGGCUAAUACUGCAAAGUUUGGGCUCCGCAGUCUACAAAACCCCACAGCUCCUAGGAAUUCUCUCACCAGCCUUCUGCCCUUAGGCUCCGGUAGAUUGCAAAUGACCUGCUUUCUUUGGGAUCCCGGGCUGCUUUCGGACACCUGUCGAAUAGUAAAUCCCAAGUAAGGUACCUGCGGUCGUCAGCAGAUCUGAGUUUUCUUCUUGGACACCUAAUACCCACAGCCCUCCAGAGACCGUGAGGUUGAUGUCACUCCCAAUAUCGGAGGAAGUAUGCACCCCCGUGUGAGAUGGUCCUUAAUAAUAUUCCACGGCGGAGGGGGUGAUAUGACUACAUACAUGGCAGAAAGUGGAAACCCCCCAGGGAUAUUAUUCCCACGAUCCUGGAGGGAAGAAGAUGAUGUUACUUUCAAUAUGACAGAAGGUGGAUGAAGUGGUGGACUGCCCCUCCACACCUGUGGACACGCCCCCACUGAUAUUUCUUCUAAUUGCAACGUGGGAGAGGAGGAUAUGACAGGCGAUAUCGCAGGGAGUAGAAACACCCCUGUGAUACUGUUCUUCAUAUUCAGGGAUGAAGAGGAUGAUAUUACUCCCAAUACAGACGGGUGUACACCCGUCUGUGAAAGAGUUCGUAAUCUCCAGAGGGGGAGAUGAUAUUACUCACAAUAUGGUAAAGAGGCUGUGAGUCCACGGAGGAUCCUCAGAGCCAGUGGGGGAAGAGGGGCUGGCUCUCAGUCCCCACCUCAGGGGGGUGACUACCCCCACUGCGAUGGGGGUCCUAAGAGCCAGUGGGGGAAGAGGGGCUGGCUCUGAGUCCCCGCCUCGCGGGGGGUGCCUCCCUUUCCUGCGAUGGGGGUCCUAAGAGCCAGCGGGGGAAGAGGAGCUGGCUCUCAGUCUCCGCCUCGCGAGGUGCCUCCCCACCUUGUGAUCGGGGUCCUAAGAGCCAGGGGGGAAGAGGGGCUGGCUCUCUUUGUGGAUGAUUCUUUUUCCAUUCUCAUGCACUUUUCUUUUUUCUUUCUUUUUUUUUUUUGAGACUGAGUCUUGCUCUGUUGCCCAUGCUUUGCUGGAUCUCGGGUGACUGCAACCACUGCCUCCCAGGUUCAAGAGAUUCUCCUGCCUCAGCCUCCUGAGUAGCUGGGACUAGAGGCGUGUGUCACCACACCCAGCUAAUUUUUGUAUUUUUAGUAGAGAUGGGGUUUCACCAUGUUUGCCAGGAUGGUCUCUAUCUCCUGACCUUGUGAUCCACCCACCUCAGCCUCCCAAAGUGCUGGGAUUGCAGGUGCGAGCCACCGGGUCCAGCCUCUCAGGCGAUUUUCAUACCUGCAUACUCUGAUCACUAUUCUGUUAAACAGUCAAGGAGGGUAAGUAUUAUCUUCAGAUUUCCAGAGCUCUGUCUCUGUACAGCCCUCUCCUCCUCAAUAUUCUGCCCUAUGAAUUCUAGCCACAUUGGCCUUCCCAGACUCACAGUUCUGUCCUCUCAACUCAGGAAGAUCUCUGAGCUCCAUCUGCAUUCUUUCUUCCUGUGCUGUGGCCUGGAAAGUUUUCUAAAGUGUUUGGGAGGUCAAUUGUGGGGCUAGCCUCAUUUGUUUCUCAUUUGUUGACGAUCACUGCCUUUUGAUGCUUGAUUCCAGUGAUUGAUUCCCUUUGUUGCUUGAGGGCCAUAGUUUCAUAUAUUUUGUCCAGUAUUUUUGUUGUUUUAGGUCAGAAAGUAAUUUUGGUCUCUGUUACUCCAUCUUGGCCAGAAGUGUAAGACCUAAGCAUUUACACAUCAAAAUACUGCACACAUAAUUUUAGUUUAAGCCACUUUUUAAAAAAUCUCCUUCAUUUUCCAUUUAGCAUUCUAUUUAGGGUAUUACAUUGGUUUUUUUGAAAUUCUGUUAUUGGCAGUUUCUAUUGCCUAUCAAUCCCAUUUAAAGAUAGUGCAUAGGGUAUUCUGAAAUAGCUGUUAAGCAAAGAGAAAAUUGGGCCUGAUAGGGUGAGAAUCACAGCUCUAAUACCUAGAGUGACCUUAUAAUGUAUUGUCCAAAGGAGAUAUUUUUGACAGUGAAAGAGGGUGUUGUUAGUAAUUAUAUCAGGACCAUGGCCUAAACCAGGACUAUCCCAGGCAGCCUGGGACAUAUUUGUACCCCAUCUCUAUUUAAUGCCUUUAUACAAUUCUUUACUUAAUUCUACCAGCCUUUAUUGAGCCUGCUUUCUUUGUCUAGCUGAGUGCCACGUGCUGACAUCACCAAGAUCAAUACAGCAAACUCUGAAAGAUGGACUGAGAGACAGGAGAUGGUCCUUUAUAAUGCAGUGUGAUCUGUGCUGCAAUAGAGAUGGAAGAGUGUUCUGAUCGGCUGGAAAACAACACACAUGGGAAGCUGUACAGAAAUGAGUGGGGAAAGUUUUGGAAGCUAGAAGUUCAAAACGAGGUGUUGGCAGCACCAUGCUCUCUCUGAAGAUGCUAGGAAGAAUCUGCUCCAUGCCUUUCCAUUCGCUUCUGGGGUUUCCUGCAAGCCCUGACAUUCCUUGGCUUGUAGAUGCAUCACCCCAGUUUCCGCCCCCAUCAUCACAUGGCCUCCUCUCUGCGUGUGCCUCUGCAUUCCCUCUAUUCUUCUUCUAAGGACACCGACACCAGUCAUAGUAGAUUAAGGGUCCACUCCUAACUAAUUACAUCUGCAACAACCCUAUUUCCAAAUAAAGUCACAUUCUAAGAUUCCUAGGGAGAACAUGAAUUUUUGGGGGUGUGUGGAUACUGUUCAACCUGGGACAUGGAGUAAAUAAAUGGCAAGGAAGAUUACAGAUGACUUUAAGCUAAAGAGGGAGAUAGGGUUAUAUGUAGGACUUUUUUUUUCCAGGA